rnacentral:rRNA from 1 species
UACAGAGGUCUCAAGCGUUGUUCGGAUUCAUUGGGCGUAAAGGGUGUGUAGGCGGCGCGGUAAGUCGGGUGUGAAAUCUCGGAGCUUAACUCCGAAACUGCAUUCGAUACUGCCGUGCUUGAGGACUGGAGAGGAGACUGGAAUUUACGGUGUAGCGGUGAAAUGCGUAGAGAUCAUGAGGAAGACCAGUGGCGAAGGCGGGUCUCUGGACAGUUCCUGACACUGAGACACGAAGGCCAGGGGAGCAAACGGG